rnacentral:misc_RNA from 1 species
GAAAAGCUUAACUUGAUAUAGCAAUAGAAAUAGGGAAUAGAAACUUAUAUAGCUGUAUUUUCAAUUUAGGUAAAAUGAUUAAAUGAAGAGCAAAAGGAAAAUGUUAAUUCAAGUUGCAACCAAAAUAUGUUUCCAUAAAUCUCAUGGGCUACUGAAUAGUAAAGUCUGCUAGCGGCUAACACAAAUCCACCAAAUUAGAUAAAAAUAUUUUAGAGCUUUAACUCUUUAAAUUCGACGAAAAUGGGCCAAAAACAGGUUGCCAGAUCAGGGGCUAAAAAUUGAAAAUGGAAGCCAAGGAAUGAAAGAACAUAUACCGUCUCCUCGGUUGUUG